ACAUCCAUCUCCGAACCACAAGGUUUGUUCUCCUCCAUUCAUUCCAAUAUAGGAAGCACAUCCUCC
ensembl:ncRNA K03B8.19 ncRNA